ensembl:lncRNA
GGGCUAUAAACCGCCAUGUAACGAGGCGGAUGAGAACAUCAGUGUCCCUUUCUACCACUUCAUGUGCUUGACAAAUAUAGCCAAGGGUCUACGAGAUAAAACAAAACCACCUGAAGUCUGUGAAGUGUACAAAAAAGUCUGUGGGGAAGAUUCUGCCACCCCAGCACCACCAAAACCUUCACCGACAACACCAACCAUUGAAGCAACACCAUCAACAGCACCAGCCAUUGAAGCAACACCAUCAACAGCACCAGCCAUUGAAGCAACACCAUCAACAGCACCAACCAUUGAAGCAACACCAUCAACACCACUGCCAACAACACCAACCACUAAAGCAACACCACCAACAGGACCAGCCAUCGACGCAACAUCAUCAACAGCACCAACCACUAAAGCAACACCACCAACAGGACCAGCCAUCGACGCAACAUCAUCAACAGCACCAGCCAUCGAAGCAACACCAACCAUUGAAGUAACAACAAAAAACCCAAGCACAGCAUCAACAACAAAAACAACAGCACCAUCAACGACAUCGUCAACAACAAGUACAACAGCAGCAUCAUUCCUGGUGAAUUCACGUUCAGAAAAAGAAACGGGAAGUGACAUCCAAAAGAUUUUAAUAGGAGUUCUUAUCAUGACGAACAUCAUUGUCCCCAUGGCAAUUUAUCUGUACAUGCGUAACCAGAUUCAGCAGAUUCCAAACUUGAGGGAAGAAGUAAGAAUGACAGAGAUGCAGCAAAACACAUUUCCCAGGGAUGUUGAAGAGGGUCCCAUUUUAUUAACGAGGUCCAGCUGUAACUACAAAAAUCUAUUUUUCCAACAACUGUAGACGCCCGAGAGUUCCAUCAUCAUAAAUUCACCUGAAAACACCAUAAUUUAAAGCCCUUGCCCAAAUAGAACACACCAUUAGAAGUUCUGAGCUGCUGAGAAUCUGGAUAAAUCUGGAUACGAGGAUCUGCCUUACACAGAUCUGGACUUACACAGUCCAGGUGAAGUAAAGGUGGUCUGUGAAGGCCUCUGCGCCCAAAGGUGGAUAAGCUUCCAAUGUGAAGAAGAGUGGGACCAAACAAGCCGCAGCAUGCCUGUUCAUGUAACUGCUCUGCAGUCGCACAUCAAGAUUGUUUUCUGUCCGCCUCAUGCAAAAUGUUUUACUGCUGUGCUGGUUUUAAGUGACCAAAGUCUUACCAGAAGAAGUGCACUGCAGAAAAUCUGUUUUAACACGAACAAUAACGAGUUGGUUUUUUGUCAUAUUUAGAAUAAUUUUAAACACAAAGACACAGAUUAUGCAUGUAGUCAGUAAACAUAUAUAUGUGUGUGUCUCUGUGUGUUCAAGUGUUCCACUGUGCAGACUACUAUAUUUAGUGCGACUGCAAAAGAAAAAAGUUACGUUUUUAUGGCUAAUGGACUAAUUGCCUCUGUUCAUGUGUGCAUAUUUGGGGAAAGGUUUGGUGGCUUUUUUUCUAUUCCUUGUAUGUAUUAAGUAUGUUGUGAUAAAGCUUCAGCUGAAAAGCUAAAAGUGCCUAAAAAAAAUUAAAUAUUAUUAUUUUUUUUAUUGCACAAUGCACAUUAAGCGAAGCCACCAUAAAAAAUUGAACUUUUACCUUUUUCUAAGCCAGCUGUGCUAGCUUUACCCCUAAAAUGUGAUCUUAUCUGUUAACAGUUGUUCUAGAUAAGUUCUCACUGUACAGUCCUCAUACAUCCAUCGAAUGUGUUUGUGUUUCAUGGAAGUAUAAAUAGAAAAUUACCUACCGCAAUGCUUUUAUUAUUUUCAUAAAUCACUGCAAAAACAAAGAGAUGUGAAAAAAGCGGUCUCUGCACGUUUUCAUUUUCAUACUGUCACGUUAUUUCACUCUUAUAUAUGGUAAAUGGUCUGUAUUUGUAUAGCGCUUUACUUGGUCCACUCUUGUGUAUGUGUAAUUAUCCCACAUAUCUGUCCCUCACAUAUGGAAGACUGUAGACAUUGUUCUGUGUUUUCAGUUUUUGGCUUUUGAUGCAUUUGUGGAAUAUAUUUUAGUUUUUGUUUAUGUAAAAAUUUUUAUUUUUAUAUAUUUUUUAAGCCAACCACUUUAUUUAUUGUGUUUGUAAUAGAGACUGAGUAGGAGUUUUUUUGUUUUGUUUUUGAAUGUGUAGAUGUGAGUUUAGACAAGCAUCUAUGAUUCCCAUACAUACUCCUUGGUGUGGAACAAAAAUGUCCAGACUGAAAAGAGAAAAAUGUAAGCAGAUAAUAGAACGGACCCGGUGAACAUAUCUGAGCACAGGAGCCAGACUUGUAAAGUGUAUAAAAAGCUAUAUUUAAAACCAAGUAAUAAAUAAGAAAUGAAUAAAAAAGAAAAAUCAAACAAAAACAUUUCUUUAAUUGAAACAGUCACAUUAAGGAUUCAUCUACACCAGGGGUCCCCAAACCCCGUCCACAAGGGCCGGUGUCCCUGCAGGUUUUAAUAAUAAUAAUAAUAAUAAUGGAUUGGAUUUAUAUAACGCUUUUCAAGGCACCCAAAGCGCUUUACAAUGCCACUAUUCAUUCAUUCGCGCAUUCACACACUGGUGGAGGCAGCUACGGUUGUAGCCACAGCUGCCCUGGGGCAGACUGACAGAAGCGAGGCUGCCAUAUCGCGCCAUCGGCCCCUCUGGCCAACACCAGUAGGUGGCAGGUGAAGGACACAACGACC